UACAGAGGGUGCGAGCGUUAAUCGGAAUUACUGGGCGUAAAGCGUGCGUAGGUGGUUUUUUAAGUCUGCUGUGAAAGCCCUGGGCUCAACCUGGGAAUGGCGGUGGAUACUGAAAAGCUAGAGUGCGGUAGAGGAGGGUGGAAUUCCCGGUGUAGCGGUGAAAUGCGUAGAGAUCGGGAGGAACAUCAGUGGCGAAGGCGGCCCUCUGGACCAGCACUGACGCUGAGGCACGAAAGCGUGGGGAGCAAACAGG
rnacentral:rRNA from 1 species